UACGUAGGGCGCAAGCGUUGUCCGGAAUUAUUGGGCGUAAAGAGCUCGUAGGCGGUUUGUCGCGUCGAAUGUGAAAACUCGGGGCUUAACUCCGGGCCUGCAGUGGGUACGGGCAGACUAGAGUGCGGUAGGGGAGACUGGAAUUCCUGGUGUAGCGGUGAAAUGCGCAGAUAUCAGGAGGAACACCGGUGGCGAAGGCGGGUCUCUGGGCCGUAACUGACGCUGGAGGAGCGAAAGCGUGGGGAGCGAACAGG
rnacentral:rRNA from 1 species